rnacentral:rRNA from 1 species
AAUUCAGAGAUGGAUUUGUGCCUUCGGGAACCGUGAGACAGGUGCUGCAUGGCUGUCGUCAGCUCGUGUUGUGAAAUGUUGGGUUAAGUCCCGCAACGAGCGCAACCCUUAUCCUUUGUUGCCAGCGAUUCGGUCGGGAACUCAAAGGAGACUGCCAGUGAUAAACUGGAGGAAGGUGGGGAUGACGUCAAGUCAUCAUGGCCCUUACGACCAGGGCUACACACGUGCUACAAUGGCGCAUACAAAGAGAAGCGACCUCGC